GAUGAACGCUAGCGGGAGGCCUAACACAUGCAAGCCGAGCGGUAUUGUUUCUUCGGAAAUGAGAGAGCGGCGUACGGGUGCGGAACACGUGUGCAACCUGCCUUUAUCUGGGGGAUAGCCUUUCGAAAGGAAGAUUAAUACUCCAUAAUAUAUUGAUUGGCAUCAAUUAAUAUUGAAAGCUCCGGCGGAUAGAGAUGGGCACGCGCAAGAUUAGCUAGUUGGUGAGGUAACGGCUCACCAAGGCGAUGAUCUUUAGGGGGCCUGAGAGGGUGAUCCCCCACACUGGUACUGAGACACGGACCAGACUCCUACGGGAGGCAGCAGUGAGGAAUAUUGGUCAAUGGGUGCAAGCCUGAACCAGCCAUCCCGCGUGAAGGACGACUGCCCUAUGGGUUGUAAACUUCUUUUGUAUAGGGAUAAACCUACCCCCGUGAGGGUAGCUGAAGGUACUAUACGAAUAAGCACCGGCUAACUCCGUGCCAGCAGCCGCGGUAAUACGGAGGGUGCAAGCGUUAUCCGGAUUUAUUGGGUUUAAAGGGUCCGUAGGCGGACUUAUAAGUCAGUGGUGAAAGCCUGUCGCUUAACGAUAGAACUGCCAUUGAUACUGUAAGUCUUGAGUAUAUUUGAGGUAGCUGGAAUAAGUAGUGUAGCGGUGAAAUGCAUAGAUAUUACUUAGAACACCAAUUGCGAAGGCAGGUUGCCAAGAUAUAACUGACGCUGAGGGACGAAAGCGUGGGGAGCGAACAGGAUUAGAUACCCUGGUAGUCCACGCCGUAAACGAUGCUAACUCGUUUUUGGGCUUUAGGGUUCAGAGACCAAGCGAAAGUGAUAAGUUAGCCACCUGGGGAGUACGCUCGCAAGGGUGAAACUCAAAGGAAUUGACGGGGGCCCGCACAAGCGGUGGAUUAUGUGGUUUAAUUCGAUGAUACGCGAGGAACCUUACCAAGACUUAAAUGGGAAUUGACAGCUUUAGAAAUAGAGCUUUCUUCGGACAAUUUUCAAGGUGCUGCAUGGUUGUCGUCAGCUCGUGCCGUGAGGUGUUAGGUUAAGUCCUGCAACGAGCGCAACCCCUGUCACUAGUUGCCAUCAUUCAGUUGGGGACUCUAGUGAGACUGCCUACGCAAGUAGAGAGGAAGGUGGGGAUGACGUCAAAUCAUCACGGCCCUUACGUCUUGGGCCACACACGUAAUACAAUGGCCGGUACAGAGGGCAGCUACACAGCGAUGUGAUGCAAAUCUCGAAAGCCGGUCUCAGUUCGGAUUGGAGUCUGCAACUCGACUCUAUGAAGCUGGAAUCGCUAGUAAUCGCGCAUCAGCCAUGGCGCGGUGAGUACGUUCCCGGGCCU
rnacentral:rRNA from 1 species